rnacentral:lncRNA from 1 species
UUGUCCAAUCACAGGGGGAAAGAAGGAAAUUAUCCCUAGGCCUUCUUGUAUUCUGCAGAGUAUAUUAUGAAAAUGGUUGAGGUGCUAUAGCAUGGUAUUUUUCAGCAUUUUUUCUCCCAAGACAUUUGUGAAACAUUUAAGUUUUUAUUGUGUUGGGAAAUAUACUGUAGAAUAUACCUACGUGACUUACUCUGAAUAAGAAACAUGUCAUUUUUCAGUGGAAAAAAGCUGUAUACUUGCUUGCAAACUUUGUCUUGAACAAGCACUGGGAAAUUUUGUUCUGUGUAACAAUUCAAUAGUAUUUCCCUGAAAAUCCUCUUCAUCGGAGGUAGAUUCAUAUAUUUCUGCAGUUGUUUCUAGGCUGAUAUAGUUUCUUUCAAGAGCAAGGUUGUAUUUGAAGGUGUUUUGUCGAAAAUCUAUUUCAAAACUCGAAUUUUUCUUCUUUUAGAAUACAGAAAACAAAUAACUAGCUGUUAAGGAGUAUGUCUGGCAGGUACCAGCGAGUUAGAAGGAAUCUGAUCUCCCUGCACAGAAAUGUCUGAUGACUGAUCCUGUAUUGGGACACUUAAAUAGUUAUGGAGAUAUGAGGCUUGACAGAAAGAGGCUCUGGAGCAGUGUUGAUGCCAGCGGCUUGGUGGAGGGAGGACUGAGGAGAAGGUGGGUUGCUGAGCCAGAGGGCAGGAAGAGAGAGAAACGGGUUGGAGGCACAGACCGAUCCAGGAAAACGUGGGGACUUUCCACCAGAAAACUGGCAUCUCACCAGGUGAUCCUCAGGUCUGCUGGGAGAGGAUAUUGCUGUUUCCAUCCUUGCUGCAGGGAGCUUUGGCUCCCAGGUAUAGCUAGAUCGCUUCCAGAGUUGUUAUUGCAAAGUAGUGUUCAUACGAACUGGUCUGGGAGGCAAAAAAAUAAAACCCCUUCAGCUGGGUAUGUGACCUGUGGUGAAGUUUAAUCAGCUUUGCGAGGUAUAUUUUGUAUCCUACUGUUUCAAAUAAAUAAAUAAAGCUUCAUGUAAAAAUUAGGCA